GUAAUUCCAUAUAAAUCCAUGCUGUGUUUAUAAAUCACUGCAUAAGAAGAUGUCUAUUGUUUGUAUCAAUAAGGCAUAUCAAGGAUCUCUUGUCUGUAUAUUUUAAAUUCCUAUUUCUUCUCUCAGCAGUAAGAUAAAACAAGAAAAACAAAUGCAUUGGAUUUUGAGACAGUAGAGCAGCUAAUCUUUACUUACUUGCUAUAUGAAUUAGCAAAAGUAUUAAAAGUACUAAAACCUCCAUAUAAAGGUAAAUGGCAGUGGGUAAUUACCAUUCUUUCAAUCAUUCAGUAAAUAUAUAUUAAGCAUUUAUUCUGUGUUAGGUCCUCAAGAUAAAAUGUUGAAGAUCGCUGGUGUUUUCUAUCUAAUAUAAAAGCCCACGUGUGUAUAAUUUAUAUUUAAUAUAUAAGUACACAGAUUUCCCUAUGUACGUGUACUUACAUACACAGAGCAUGCCUAUGACAUCUUUCUUAAGCCAAAAUGGUGUAAAAUGAAGAAACAAUUAGCAUUAAUUUACAUGCAAAUUUUUUUUAACAUUUCAAGACUCAAAAAGUAACCUCUCAGGCUUUUCUGAUACCUUAGGACACAUCUUGCUAACGGAUGCACAGAACAAAUGAAGAUACAGCACAGAUGCUCAACAGUUCAUAGCUACCACUUGACGCUGAGUGUAGUUCCCAGGGAAGGAGGUUGGCGGCGCUACUCUUGCUGCUCAGGGAGGCUUGCAAAAAGAUGAGUCCUGGUGAAUUUGCUAAAAUUUUAAGCUCCACCAGAGCCAAGACUGGGUCUGCCUUACUCAUCCCUAAUACCCUCAAGGAUUUUCAUGGGCCCUACCACCCAGAAGUGCACAGUGAAUAUUGGUGAACUGAAUGAGUCUCAGGUUGGAAGGUACCAGGUCCAAUGCCCCAUCCUGUACUUACAUAUCCACCAGUGUUUUGAGACUCAAUCCAUGGACUAGUGCCCCAUCUGUGAGCAUGUUUUUACCUAAACUGCAGCAAAACAAGACUAGCAAGAACAACAUAUUUUUCACUCUUCUAAAUUAUUCGAUUUAGAGGGCUUCAUUCUGAGAUUAUGUGCUUCCUGUUUUAAUACUUCCUA